GGAAAUUGGCGCAUUUGUGUGCGGAUUUUGUGUAUAUCAGCAUCUUAAACUAAUAUUCACUAAAGAAGCUUGUGUUCCAAAUUUGAAGCCUCUAGGUUAAUUUUUACUAUAUAUGGCCAACUUUUUCGUGAUUUCUCCCACUUUGGAUUAUAUGAAAAGUAGUUCCGAUA